rnacentral:rRNA from 1 species
AGUGAACGCUGGCGGCGUGCCUAAUACAUGCAAGUCGAACGGAGUGGCGCACGGGUGAGUAAUAUAUAGCUAAUCUGCCCCUUGCUGGAGGCAAACAGUUAGAAAUGACUGCUAAUACGCACUAGCAAGGGAUGAGACUAUAUCGUAUCAGCUAGUCGGUGGGGUAACGGCCUACCGAGGGUAUGACGCGUAACGGGUCUGAGAGGAUGAUCCGUUACAUUGGAACUGAGACACGGUCCAAACUCCUACGGGAGGCAGCAGUAGGGAAUAUUGCGCAAUGGGGGAAACCCUGACGCAGCACCGCUGCGUGGAGGAUGACACUUUUCGUAGCGUAAACUCCUUUUGUUAGGGAAGCGGUACCUAACGAAUAAGCACCGGCUAACUCCGUGCCAGCCGCCGCGGUAAUAC